rnacentral:rRNA from 1 species
AUUGAACGCUGGCGGCGUGCUUAACACAUGCAAGUCGAUCGGUAACGCGGGGGCAACCCUGGCGACGAGAGGCGGACGGGUGAGGAACGCUUGGGAAUCUGCCCUUCAGCGGGGGACAACCCGGGGAAACUCGGGCUAAUACCGCAUACGCUCCACGGAGGAAAGCCGGGGACCGCAAGGCCUGGCACUGAAGGAUGAGCCCAAGCCGGAUUAGCUAGUUGGCGGGGUAACGGCCCACCAAGGCGACGAUCCGUAGCUGGUCUGAGAGGACGAUCAGCCACACCGGAACUGAGACACGGUCCGGACUCCUACGGGAGGCAGCAGUGGGGAAUAUUGGACAAUGGGGGAAACCCUGAUCCAGCGACGCCGCGUGGGUGAAGAAGGCCUGCGGGUUGUAAAGCCCUUUCGGUAGGGACGAAAGCUCUUGCCUUAAUACGGCAGGAGGUUGACUUAACCUACAUAAGAAGCACCGGCUAACUCUGUGCCAGCAGCCGCCGUAA